GACGAACGCUGGCGGCGUGCUUAACACAUGCAAGUCGAACGGAAAGGCCCUGCUUUUGUGGGGUGUUCGAGUGGCGAACGGGUGAGUAACACGUGAGUAACCUGCCCUUGACUUUGGGAUAACUUCAGGAAACUGGGGCUAAUACCGGAUAGGAGCUCCUGCUGCAUGGUGGGGGUUGGAAAGUUUCGGCGGUUGGGGAUGGACUCGCGGCUUAUCAGCUUGUUGGUGGGGUAGUGGCUUACCAAGGCUUUGACGGGUAGCCGGCCUGAGAGGGUGACCGGCCACAUGGGGACUGAGAGACGGCCCAGACUCCUACGGGAGGCAGCAGUGGGGAAUAUUGCACAAUGGGCGGAAGCCUGAUGCAGCAACGCCGCGUGCGUGAUGACGGCCUUCGGGUUAUAAACCGCUUUCGCCUGUGACGAAGCGUGAGUGACGGUAAUGGGUAAAGAAGCACCGGCUAACUACGUG
rnacentral:rRNA from 1 species